GAUGAAGAACGUAGCGAAAUGCGAUAAGUAAUGUGAAUUGCAGAAUUCAGUGAAUCAUCGAAUCUUUGAACGCACAUUGCGCCCCUUGGUAUUCCGAGGGGCAUGCCUGUUCGAGCGUCAUUAUAACCCUCAAGCUCAGCUUGGUGUUGGGGCCUGCUGCACUGGCAGCCCUUAAAAUCAGUGGCGGCGCCAUCUGGCUCUAAGCGUAGUAAUUCUUCUCGCUAUGGAGUCCUGGUGGAUGCUUGCCAUCAACCCCCAAUGUUUCUAUGGUUGACCUCGGAUCAGGUAGGGAUACCCGCUGAACUUAAGCAUAUCAAUAAGCGGAGGA
rnacentral:misc_RNA from 1 species